AAUGUUAAGCUUAGCUGGUUGAACACGGGUCAAAUAUAACGCACGAUUGACGCAUUUGGUCCCCUUCAACCAGCUGUAGUUGACAUUAGUC
rnacentral:pre_miRNA from 12 species